GGUAAUGUGGAGGGUGGCUCUCGUAGUGGACUGUGGCUCCGGUGGUUGGGGGUUCGAUCCCCCUCGUUCACCC
rnacentral:tRNA from 1 species